AGAGGGAUAGCUGGGUCAAAUGGUGGUUCCAUUCCCAGAUUUUUAAGAAAUCUCCAUAUUGGCUAUACCAAUUUGCAGUCCCACCAGCAAU
rnacentral:pre_miRNA from 1 species